rnacentral:rRNA from 1 species
GACGAACGCUGGCGGCAUGCCUAAUACAUGCCAGUCGAACGCUGAAGCACCCUGCUUGCAGAGUGCGGAUGAGUGGCGAACGGGUGAGUAACACGUGGGGAAUCUGCCUAUAAGUGGGGGAUAACAUUCGGAAACGGAUGCUAAUACCGCAUAUAUUCUUGGACCGCCUGGUCCUUGAAAGAAAGACGGCUUUGCUGUCGCUUAUAGAUGAUCCCGCGGCGUAUUAGUUAGUUGGUGGGGUAAAGGCCUACCAAGACAAUGAUACGUAGCCGACCUGAGAGGGUGAUCGGCCACACUGGGACUGAGACACGGCCCAGACUCCUACGGGAGGCAGCAGUAGGGAAUCUUCCACAAUGGGCGAAAGCCUGAUGGAGCAAUGCCGCGUGAAUGAAGAAGGUCUUCGGAUCGUAAAGUUCUGUUAUUAGAGAAGAACAAGUCAAGGAAUAACUGUCUUGACUUUGACGGUACCUAACCAGAAAGUCACGGCUAACUACGUG